GGCCAGGUGGCGGAGUGGUCUAACGCGAUAGACUAGAAAUCUAUUUCCCUCGGGAGCGUCUGUUCGAAUCAGGCCCUGGUCG